rnacentral:rRNA from 1 species
GACGAACGCUGGCGGCGUGCUUAACACAUGCAAGUCGAACGGAAAGGCCUCUUUCGGGGGUACUCGAGUGGCGAACGGGUGAGUAACACGUGAGUAACCUGCCCUUGACUUUGGGAUAACUUCAGGAAACUGGGGCUAAUACCGGAUAGGAGCUCCUGCUGCAUGGUGGGGGGUGGAAAGUUUCGGCGGUUGGGGAUGGACUCGCGGCUUAUCAGCUUGUUGGUGGGGUAGUGGCUUACCAAGGCUUUGACGGGUAGCCGGCCUGAGAGGGUGACCGGCCACAUUGGGACUGAGAUACGGCCCAGACUCCUACGGGAGGCAGCAGUGGGGAAUAUUGCACAAUGGGUGGAAGCCUGAUGCAGCAACGCCGUGUGCGGGAUGACGGCCUUCGGGUUGUAAACCGCUUUCGCUCAUGACGAAGCUUUGUGUGACGGUAGUGGGUAAAGAAGCACCGGCUAACUACGUG